CAGCAUGCAUGACGGUUAAAGCAAACGAAAAAUAUGGACCCAGGGAACGAAGAGAGAAAAAAAAAACGGUUCUGUCAGCGUAUUCCCUCCUACAAGCCCAUACAGAAGAGAAAAAAACGAGGACUGUGAAAGGAAACAGGCUGAUGAGAAGAAGACAGCUGGGCCGUCCGAAAAUAAUUAUAGGAUAGGGCGCUUUUAAAUGCAGCUAAAAUAUGCACCGUGUGAACCUCGGUCGUGUGGUGUCAAAGCUGUGCAAUAUUUUUGUGCCAGAAAAAUAGAGGAAAGGCAAAAAAGAAAAAGUCGUUUUAGGCCCGAGUAAUUUUCUGGAAAGAUUAGUGUCCAGGUUCUCCAGAAAUCGUAAAGCAAGAAAAUAAGUGUGCGACCAUAUAUCACGUUUGUUUUUUCGGUGCCCAAUGGACCUGAAAGCGUACUGGGAUAAGGGAAACAAAAAUGCUGCGUCGCAAGCAAAACCUGAACUUUUAGCAAAAAGGUCAAACCGCUUUUGGGAUUGGAGAUCAUCCUACAUUUUGUACCCACUUAAUAACACGUUGGCCGCUGAUUUAUGAAGACGUCCAAAAAACAUGUUUAUAUGUUUUAUAUUUGAUGUUGGCCGGCGGAAGAGAAGAUGAAAACAAUUUGGGAGUGGUUUUUUCGGUUUUUUGAUUAUUUGUUGGCUACAUGGGAAUUUGGAUUACAAUCGGAAGGAAAAGAAGGCCGCCAGUAAGCCACGACCCCUUUUGUAAGGCAGCCAUAAUGAAUAAGGCCGAGCCAAAUGUGAUCCGUGCCUAAAUUUCUUGUCUGCGAGUGACAGCAUAUGGGCCCCUUCGGACCCCCCUUGCCGCACGACCGUGUCUGCUUUGACCCUAAUCUAAUGGCCUGACAGGUCGCCAGCUGGUGUUUUCUAUAGGAGACCAUACACGA